AAAGUCGUAACAAGGUUUCCGUAGGUGAACCUGCGGAAGGAUCAUUACCGAUUUUAGCGGACCUGAUCUCUGAUCAUGGUCUCGCGAAAACUUGUAUUUAAAACCCCACUCUUAUAAAUAUUGAAUCAUUCUAUAUUGUAUAUAAUAAAUAAAGAUCACUUUCAACAACGGAUCUCUUGGCUCUC
rnacentral:misc_RNA from 1 species